rnacentral:rRNA from 1 species
AGUGAACGCUGGCGGCGUGCCUCAGACAUGCAAGUCGAACGAUUAAAGCUCUCUUCGGAGAGUGCAUAAAGUGGCGCACGGGUGAGUAACACGUAAGUAAUCUACCUUCGAGUGGGGAAUAACGUCCGGAAACGGACGCUAAUACCGCAUAAUGCAGCGGCACCUAAUGGUGACAGUUGUUAAAGAAUUUAUUCGCUUGAAGAGGAGCUUGCGGCAGAUUAGCUAGUUGGUAAGGUAAUGGCUUACCAAGGCUUCGAUCUGUAACCGGUCUAAGAGGACGGUCGGUCACACUGACACUGAAUAACGGGUCAGACUCCUACGGGAGGCAGCAGUCGGGAAUUUUGGGCAAUGGGCGAAAGCCUGACCCAGCAACGCCGCGUGAAGGAUGAAGUAUGUCGGUAUGUAAACUUCGAAAGAAUGGGAAGAAUCAAUGACGGUACCAUUUAUAAGGUCCGGCUAACUACGUGCCAGCCGCCGCAGUAA